AAUAUAUAUAUAUAUAUGUUAAAAAGAAAAAAAAAAACUCCCAGGGGUUGGCUUCUGGCUGGUUUCCUUUUGCUGUGGGGUUUUGUUAUCUGGUUUUCAUGGUGAACGUGCCCAGCCGCCUGCCCCAGAACUGUACAGUAUUGUGGCUGCACUCACUCUGAGAGUAGUUAUGUUGCAUUUUUCUUGUUGUUAAAAACUUGUUAGAAGCAAUGAAUGUCUAUAAAAGCUUCAACUAGUCGUUUUUUCUCCUCUGUUUUUCCUUGUCUCAAUUAUUCUGUGAUCGGACAACCAGAGAACCGUUCAUACUUCUUUCUUUCUGAGAAGGGAUUCCCACCUGAGCGCGGUGCGUAUGUUGGCCAAGAUCAAGGUUACAUGGGACGCAUGCACUUUCCAAAUUGGGGUCAAGGGCUCUCACAAGAACCACAAGGAGAAAAUCACCCAAGAACCUCCUCGGUCGUCCCGAGCCCUCAGUGCACAAGCACCCGGGAGGAGAGAUCUAAACAACCGGACAGACCUUGGACAACCAUGAAAUAUGCAUCCCACUGGGCACAAAGAAAACCAGAUGGAAUAUGAACGGUAUUGCACCAAUUCAUCGUGACUACCCAGAAAAAUAACUUAAAGCCACUAUCCUACCGAUGACAAGUUUGUUUUGUGUAUCAAUGUGAGCCCAGCAGACAAAAACACCUGUGCAAGACCGAAAGGCUUCAUCAAAAGGUCCUGGAAUUGUUACUAAAUACGACUGUGAUGUAGAUACAUAGCAGUGCCAUAUACUGGAAUCUUUGGGGGAACCUGCUGCAGUGGGCCUUCCAAGCUAGCUCGUGUUAUUAAAUUUUCCCCUCUGGGUACCAUUUGAAGGAGUGAUAGCCAAUCAAAUUUCUUUUGGGGACGUGGGGGUGGUUGUGUUUAUUAUACUAUCUUCUUAAGUUUUCAACCGAGCUUUGCUUUUGUUUUGAGUUACUGGGAUGAUUUUUGUUUGAAAUAAAAUAAGUGUAUAAAAAGUG